rnacentral:rRNA from 1 species
AUUGAACGCUGGCGGCAUGCCUUACACACGCAAGUCGAACGGCAGCACGGGUGCUUGCACCUGGUGGCGAGUGGCGAACGGGUGAGUAAUAUAUCGGAACGUACCUUAUUGUGGGGGAUAACGCAGCGAAAGCUGUGCUAAUACCGCAUAAUCCCUAAGGGGGAAAGCGGGGGACCGUAAGGCCUCGCGCAAUUAGGGCGGCCGAUACCUGAUUAGCUGGUUGGUGAGGUAAAGGCUCACCAAGGCAACGAUCAGUAGCUGGUCUGAGAGGACGAUCAGCCACACUGGGACUGAGACACGGCCCAGACUCCUACGGGAGGCAGCAGUGGGGAAUUUUGGACAAUGGGGGCAACCCUGAUCCAGCAAUGCCGCGUGAGUGAAGAAGGCCUUCGGGUUGUAAAGCUCUUUUGUCAGGGAAGAAACAGCAGCUCUAACACAGUUUGCGAAUGACGGUACCUGGAGAAUAAGCACCGGCUAACUACGUGCCAGCCGCCGCUGUAA